CCGAGCAGCUGCAGUGGGGAAUGGGUCGGGUGUGUCAGGAGGGGUUUGUGUGUGGGGCUGUGUCACUGUGUGCUGUGUUCGGAGGAGGCACCCACCUGACCGUCCUUGGUCAGCCCAAGGCUGCCCCCUUGGUCACUCUGUUCCCGCCCUCCUCUGAGGAGCUUCAAGCCAACAAGGCCACACUGGUGUGUCUCGUAAGUGACUUCUACUCGGGAGCUGUGACAGUGGCCUGGAAGGCAGAUGGCAGCCCCAUCAAGGCGGGAGUGGAGACCACCAAACCCUCCAAACAGAGCAACAACAAGUACGCAGCCAACAGCUACCUGAGCCUGACGCCCGAGCAGUGGAAGUCCCACAGAAGCUACAGCUGCCAGGUCAUGCACGAAGGGAGCGUGGAGAAGACAGUGGCCCCUACAGAAUGCUCUUAG